rnacentral:tRNA from 1 species
GGCCCGUUGGUCAAGUGGUUAAGACACCGCCCUUUCACGGCGGUAUCACGGGUUCGAAUCCCGUACGGGUCAUCA